UGCAUGUGACGUGAAGUGCUUUGAUUAAUACUGUUACAUCAGCUUCUGUGCAUAUUUAUCAAAGCUUUACCAAAGGAGCUGGGUUUAGCAUGCAGUAGCUCAUUUAAAUUAUUCAAAGGUCCAGUGUGUAAUUUUUUGGAGGAUCUAUUGACAGAAAUACAAUAUAAUAUAGAUAACUAUGUCUUCAGAGGUGCAUAAAGACCUUAUGUAAUGAAGUGUUAUGUUUUUAUUACCUAAGAAUGAGCUAUUUCGAUCUAAAUAUACCACGGGGCCCCUUGCAUGGAAUUCGGUAUGAAUUGCGAUUCAGUUCACACCUCAACCGAUUUGAAUCGUCACACAUUAUAAUCACACGCUUGCAGUAUUCGUACAAUCACUACACACUGGUUAACUGGCCAAUCAUAGCACACCUCACUUUUCAGAGUGAUGAGCUUUGUAAAAAAUCUGUGCGUGUCAGAGAGGCGGAGCAAAGAGGAGAUAUGGUAUGAGGAAAAUACAGCGUUUUUGAACCUUAAAUCAUGUAUACACGUCACAAUGCAUUACUUCUAAAACAAACGAAACAUAAAAGAAAAAAAAAUAUUCACAGCUUUCCAGAAUCGACAUUGAAUUGACAGCAUUAAAGGAGCCAGUCUUUUGCUGUUUUAGAGGCUUUGAUUAUGUUUUUUGGGUGUUCAACAAUGGAUGUUCAUGUUGCUAAUAAAAAAAAAACGCUUUAUAUUUCACAUAUUUCAAGUAUACUGUUCUCCGCUGUUCCUCUUCUAAUAAAAAGGCUUGAUUUCUUCAGGUCUAUAUAAACUCCCUCCUUCCGAAACGCUCUGAUUGGUAAACAGUUGCAAGGAUGUAAACUUCACUUCAUCAGUUAAAAACAUGCGGAUCGAUCGAAGUGUAACAGAGGUCUGCAAGUGCAUGUGCAAACGUCAAUCUUUGUUAGAGAUCGCAAUUUUUUUCAGACUAUGUUGAGGGAUAUGACACCGGACCGAAUGGCGUAAGACCGGUCAUAUUAAUUAACACUAAUAAAAGAAGAGUUAGUUUUGCCCCUUUAUAUUGGACCCGAGUUGGAUAAUAAAACAAGCAGAUUGACCAGGAGACAUUUGCAAGCAGGACUUCAAAGGACGUUUCAUAGAAGUGUUUAAGAGGUAUGCGCACGCACGCACACACAUACACAAUAUCAGUGUAUUACACAGAAUAGCUUUCACAGCCGAUGUUAAAGUCAUGGAAGCUGUUAUUUGACCGUUGGUAAUGUUAGAAUGUGUGUAGCUGAAUUCUUAUUAUCAGCUGUAGAACUGUGAUGAAAGUGAAAGUAGUUUAGCGCGUAGCUCAGUCAAAUGUAUACAAUCUCUGAUAACAACUCUCUUCCUCUUCUCUAAGGAAGGCCUCGCCCCUUUUUUGGCGUAUUAAUCCGGGCGGAGGUUAUUAUGGCACUUGGAAUGGUGACAUCAUAUACCCGAGAAGUAGAGGGCUGUAGUCCGAUUCCAGUCGUUCUCUGUAGUCCUUGAAAAGCGAAUUAUGUUAAAGACAAUAGCUCGCUUGGCACUGAACUUGAGCUUUAUCAUUUUCCAGUGUUCCUACCGUGAAGUCUUUCUCUGAUCAUCUGACUCUUGCCACUCAAUUGCACAACGUUCUCAGAAUCUUGGAAGACAUCCUCCACCAGCUGUUUAAUGACUUUAUUUGGAGGAGGCAGGAGAGAGGCUUUGUGGUGUGAUUCACACACCUCCAGGAUGGAGUUCAGGUUUGCUCGUCGGUGGGCCAUGUCCUC